CCAAAAAUAAGAGUUCUGUGCAAAAGUGUAAGAGCAAGCUGUCAACAGUGUAAAAACCAACGAGCAGUACCAAACCCUCCGUUGAUGGGCAAUCUUCCAGCAGCGAGACUUGCGGCUUUCGCCAGACCAUUUUCGUAUGUCGGGGUCGACUAUUUUGGCCCGAUUUCUGUGGCAGUUGGACGAAGACUCGAGAAGCGAUGGGGGGUACUGAUAACAUGUCUAACAAUACGAGCUAUUCAUGUGGAAAUUGCGCAUUCUCUAAAUGCCGACUCGUGUAUCAUGGCUCUGAGGAACUUUAUGGCUAGGCGAGGUGUACCAAUACGUAUUUUCAGCGAUAGAGGCACGAAUUUCGUAGCAGGUAGUAAAGAACUCGAAGCAGCGUUGAAAAACAUGGACCAAGACCAGGUGAUACGGGAGAUUGUUAGCCCUAACACUGAUUGGGAAUUUAUUCCCCCUGCCUCUCCACACAUGGGAGGAAGUUGGGAGCGAUUAGUGCGGUCCGUCAAAGUCAACCUACAGAAGAUGAAACCUCAACGUAACCCGACAGAUGAAUCAUUGCGCAACAUACUAAUCGAAAUUGAACAUACUGUCAAUUCGCGUCCUCUGACGUUUGUUCCUGCCGAGGACUUCGAUGCUCCUGUUCUCACUCCAAAUCAUUUUCUCAUGGGAUCGUCAAACGGACUGAAACCUGCAACACCUCUCGACGAUAGCUGCGGUAUACUAAGACGAGCAUGGCGUGCUUCUCAAGCGGAGGCAAACCUUUUCUGGCGAAGAUGGAUACGCUACUACCUUCCGGAACUAACUAAGCGCUCAAAGUGGUUCGGUAAGGUCAAACCGAUAGGUGUGAACGACGUAGUCGUAAUAGUAGACGCCGGCCUACCCAGAAACUGUUGGCCUAUGGGGCGUGUUAUUUCGGUGAAAGACAGCAAAGAUGGCCAGGUAAGAUCGGCAACCGUGCAGACCCGAACGGGAAUCUAUGAACGACCAGCCACAAAGAUAGCUGUACUUGAUGUUCGACGCGAUGGAUCAGUAAGCCAGGACAUAGGCGUACGUGGGGGGGAGUGUCACGACCCCUCGGUCGGCGCGUCGCUUCAUCUGGGAUUGACAACGGAACGUCAAGCGUGAAACGUCAAACACCGGGCUCUCGGACGGGAUGACGGGACCACUUUUCGCUGACAAUAGUUUGGAUGAUAAACAGAGGAAUUGGUAUGCUGAAAACGAUGAAAUGUGCCUGCAAACGAAUGUGUAAAACUUAAAAUCCAGUUUAAAACUAGUUUUUCUUUUCUUUAUUUAAAUAGUGUAUAAGUAAAUUAUAAUUCUCCUUGCUAUUCUAAUAUUAGGGUAGGGCGAAGUGUAUUACGAAUAUUGAAUAUGUGCCUAAAUUACCUAAAUAUUUUUCCAUUCGUAGAAAUUAACCUAAACUAUACCUAUACUUACACUAUACUGCUCAAAUCGGAUAAGAGUUAGAUAUUAGGAUUCACGGUGAGCCGAAUUGAUAAUGCGUUAAAUAACUAAAUUAAUUAAUGUAUUCGGUUGAUAGCUGAAUUCGUUUUGUAGGAUUUAAGCUAGUGAGCAGUGAGCACUGCUGAUAUUCGUAGCCUGAAGCGAGGGUGAAUAUUAGAACAAACCACGAAGGUGAAACAUUAAUUAUAUGAAGUGUUCUUACAGGAGUAAUAUUUCAACCAGAGUAGGAGUUGGGGAAUAGCAUAGGAAAGAGUAAGAACCCUAAACGGCUUACUUACGAUUUACUCAACCGUUACAGCGAUUCUACGGCGGUUUUCCAAAACUUCCUAAUGUCGCACUAUCCAAUAAUCACCGAAUCUACAGGUCCUACUCACUUGGUUCUUUCGAUACCACUAACUGACGAUUGAUCCGGAUUAUUUUGUAGUAUUUUUCACUACCAAGCUCACAAAUUCAAUUUCGGAAUAAAACUUUAUUAUCACCGA